rnacentral:rRNA from 1 species
UACAGAGGGUGCAAGCGUUAAUCGGAAUUACUGGGCGUAAAGCGUGCGUAGACGGUUACAUAAGUCGGGUGUGAAAGCCCCGGGCUCAACCUGGGAAUUGCAUUUGUGACUGCAUAGCUAGAGUACGGUAGAGGGGGAUGGAAUUCCGCGUGUAGCAGUGAAAUGCGUAGAUAUGCGGAGGAACACCGAUGGCGAAGGCAAUCCCCUGGACCUGUACUGACGCUCAUGCACGAAAGCGUGGGGAGCAAACAGG